CCCAGUCGACUCAGGAAACCUCACAAACACUCAGUCGACUCAAGAAAAAGAAGGCUGGAGAGGGAGGAGAGAGAGAGAAGGCGAGAGAGAGGAAGAAGGCGAGGAAGAGGGAGUGAGAAAGAAGGCGAUGGAGAAGAAAAGGCAAAGAGAUGGAAGAAAGUAAGCGAUAGAGAGUUUUGCAGGUUUUAGUUGAUAUCAAGAUUAUAGAUUGAUUCUUGUGAUUGUGGGAAGCCUGGGGAAGCAAGGGCUACUUUGAGACGUUCGGUUAGAGAAUGGAUUGUUUAGAGAGAAUUAUGAUCAGCCCCAUCUUCACAUGGAAUGGCCUUCGAUGCUGAGAGCACUUGCCAGUCCUAUUGGUCCCACAGACUGGAAUGAAGCUCUGGAUAUAAUUGCUUAUGGUUCUCAUGAGCAGGAUAAUGCUCACUGGGAGGUUGUUGACGCCUUACCAUCAUAUGGACGAGGUAUUGAACUUCCUGGUGGUAGGUAUCGAAGCGAUUACAGGCAAUAAUCUAGUCGAUGUUGUAAUUACAGGUAGUGGAGCACCCUUUCAUAUUAGAAGAUGCAGUUUUCUUUUGAGCUCUUAUUGUUUUCUGUAUGUUAUUCUUAUGGAUUAUGGAUGAAUUAAUUUACUGCACAGGUGACAAUGGGACUAUAGAUAGCCAGGGUUCCGUUGGUGGGAGCACUUGAGUUCUCAUUGUUUAAACUACAGCCGACCACACCUGGUUGAUUACUCUUAAAAUAUUUAGAGAGUAUAGUUAUGCUUAUAGUUGGUGGGCUACUAGUGUACUAGGAGUCCAUGAUUAAAAGAUUACUGGAUAGUCUAUUAAGUUCUAUUAAGUAGAAAUUGAUUAAAGAUUACAGGGCAGUCUCCAUGAUUAAGAGUUUAUAAGAAUAUAUAUCCAAGUCUAAUGGGAAACAUAUAUAAAAAAAGUGCAAGUCCCGAUACAAGUGUUUUCCCUUCGAUCAUCAUAUUGUAGUGUAUAUAUAGCCAUGCAAUACAACUCUAUAUAUUGUAAUGUAAAAUUAAAAAUAGUUAAGUUGUACAAGUGUUUUAGAUAGUUGACAGUUUAUUUAUUUAUUUAUUUAUUUUUCUUACUUAGAAAUGAC